rnacentral:rRNA from 1 species
AUGACGAUACCUAGUGCCGAGGGAUUCCUCCCGGCGGCGAGCUGCCUGCCGUGCACCGCGGAGGAGGAAAGGGCGGCCGUCGACGCACUCACGCGGGAGGCCGACGCGAAUGUCAAAGACGGCGAUCUCCGCUAUCUCAUCUCACAAAGCUGGUGGACCAACUGGCAAUCUUAUGUGGGCUUACUCAGUUAUGGGGAGAAUGACACUGACAUUCCUCUUCAACCUGCAAGUAGACCUGGAGAGAUUGAUAACAGAAAGCUUGUUUUGGAGGAAACUAGCAGUGGCAGUGAAGAUACAGAGCUCCAAAGAACCUUAAGAGAAGGGGAGGACUACACUUUGGUGCCACAAGAUGUCUGGAGAAAACUAUAUGACUGGUAUAAAGGUGGACCAGAGAUAUCUAGGAAAGUGAUAUGUGAGGAUCCAACUUCCAGGAGAUACAUAGUCGAUGUCUAUCCCCUUCAUUUGACACUAAUUGAUGAAAGAGAUAACUCUGCGCGGACCAUCAAACUAAGUAGGAAGGCCAAAGUUAGUGAGCUUUAUAGAUUGGUUUGCUCACUUUUGUCUGUGGAGCAGUCCAAGGUUCACAUCUGGGAUCAUUACCAAAAGUUGAAGAACAAAAAGUUGACCAAUCGCAAUGAGACACUCGAGGAAGCUCAACUUCUGAUGGAUCAAGAGAUUCUCUUGGAGGUUAGUGCAGAUGAUAUCUGGUCUUCCGAUCAUUGUACAAGAUCUACCAGCAAUGAAUUAGCAUUACUUCCACUGGAACCCACCACGUCGUCAUUCUCAAUUGCUGGAGGCCCUAACUUUUCAAAUGGCUAUUCAUCUGGAAUUGGUUCCAGUCUUUCACAGGAUAAUAGCCUUAAUCCUUUAGUAAAGGACAUAGAAGAUGGGUAUAGUAAUUUCAGCAAUGGAACAAAAGAUGACAUCCAUGGAUUGACUGGGUUACAUAACCUGGGUAAUACAUGCUUCAUGAAUAGCGCCAUACAGUCCUUGGUCCAUACGCCUCCACUGGUGGAGUAUUUUUUGAAGGAGUACACUCAGGAGAUAAACACGGAAAAUCCGCUUGGGCUGCAGGGUGAACUUGCAGUAGCAUUUGCUGAACUACUGAGAAAACUUUGGUCCGCUGGUCGCACUUCUGUACCUCCACGUGCAUUUAAGUCAAAACUUUCUCGUUUUGCUCCUCAGUUUAGUGGAUAUAAUCAGCAUGAUUCUCAGGAGUUGCUUGCAUUUCUGUUGGAUGGUCUGCAUGAAGAUCUCAAUCGCGUGAAGAAGAAACCAUAUAUUGAAGCAAAGGAUGCUGAUGAUCGUCCUGAUGAAGAAUUCGCUGAAGAAUGCUGGAAUUACCAUAAAGCUCGAAAUGACUCCAUAAUAGUAGAUAAGUUCCAGGGGCAAUACAAGUCCACCUUAGUCUGUCCAGAAUGCAACAAAAUCUCUGUUACCUUUGACCCAUUCAUGUAUUUAUCGCUACCAUUACCCUCAACUGUUACUCGAAUGAUGACUGUGACUGUAUUUAGUGGUACUGGGGAUUCUCUUCCCAUGCCUUACACUGUUACAGUACCAAAGAAUGGAGUUUGCAGAGAUCUUUGUAAAGCCCUGAGUGAUGCGUGCUGCUUAAAAGAGUCCGAGACAUUGUUACUUGGAGAGGUAUAUGAUUAUCGGAUUUACCGUUAUUUCAGUCCAUUGGAGCUACUUCAUAUUAUAAAAGAUGGUGAUCAGCUUGUUGCUUAUAAGCUUCCUGCUGGCCAUGAAAAACUUUUGAGGAUUGAGAUCCUACAUCGGAAUGUGGAUAGAUUUACUCCAGAGCCCCAGUUUAAUGCUCGGAAGCUCAUUGGAAGCCCUCUUGUGACUUGUAUUCCCAAUGACUCGACAAGAAAAGCUGAUAUUUAUGCGGCUGUCUCUGCGGUUCUGGCUCCAUUUGUACGAGCAAAUGUGCAUGCUCCAGGUGAGUCUCUGUUGAAUGGCAGCAGGCCAAGUCUGGAUGGUAUUGUACUAAGGGAUAAUGGCGCCUCAUGUGAGAAGGGUCUUUCUACGUCAAAUGUGGAUGAAGCAAGGAGUGAUGCUGAGUUUUUGCCGUUUAAGCUUUACUUGAGUGAUGAUAAAGGUCAUAUAAGAAAUCCUGUAGAAGAAGAUUCUGAUCACGUUUUUGGUUUGCCCAUGAGGUUAUUGAUGGGUUGGUCUGAUAAAGAACAUGAAAUAUAUAACCUUAAAUACAUGGAUGAUCUUCCUGAUGUUUUCAAGCCAGGAUUCAUGUCAAAGAAAACACGGCAAGAAGCAGUCAACUUAUUUUCAUGCUUGGAUGCUUUUCUGAAGGACGAACCUCUAGGCCCUGAUGACAUGUGGUACUGUCCUUGCUGCAAGGAGCACAGACAGGCUAGCAAGAAACUCGACUUGUGGAGGUUGCCUGAGAUAUUGGUGGUCCACUUAAAGAGGUUUUCAUACAGCCGUUAUAUGAAAAAUAAGCUUGAUACCUUUGUGAACUUUCCAAUCCAUGAUCUCGAUAUGACCAAGUACGCAAAGCACACAUCAGGAGGCGACCAGCCCCACAUCUAUGAACUCUAUGCGGUGAUAAAUCAUUAUGGUGGUUUGGGAGGUGGUCACUAUUCUGCCUAUGCGAAGUUAAUAAAAGAAGAUAGCUGGUAUCACUUCGAUGAUAGUCAUGUCUCCUCUGUCAAUGAAGAGGAAACAAGGACAUCUGCUGCUUAUCUGCUCUUCUAUCGACGUGUUGAUGGCAAUUCCUGUGCAAUGUCCGAUGUUGUUCCAGUCGACAUCCAUAUGGUUGAUUCACUUGAGGCAUAG